UACGGGGGGGGGCAAGCGUUGUUCGGAAUUACUGGGCGUAAAGGGCUCGUAGGUGGCCAACUAAGUCAGACGUGAAAUCCCUCGGCUUAACCGGGGAACUGCGUCUGAUACUGGAUGGCUUGAGUUCGGGAGAGGGAUGCGGAAUUCCAGGUGUAGCGGUGAAAUGCGUAGAUAUCUGAAGGAACACCGGUGGCGAAGGCGGCAUCCUGGACCGACACUGACACUGAGGAGCGAAAGCCAGGGGAGCAAACGGG
rnacentral:rRNA from 1 species